GCCUCUCUUCUCAGCAUCUCUCGCACAUAUCCAUCCCCACUCAUUUCUCUCCAUGCGCCUGGCUUCGGCCAGCGCCGCGGUUUCUCCGGCAAGGCCCCCACCGGCGAGGCAUCCCCUGCUCCUCUCUUCAUCUCUCUUCACCUCUGCUCGUCGGCCCUCCCCUUCCUGCUCCCCGACGCCCCCGUGUGAUGGACCACGGGUCGGCGCUGGACGGAGGAGGAAGCACGCCGGGGAUUUGCAUCUGGUGGACGGGAACAGCUGCAACCGGUGGACAGAGGAGCUGCGAUGGGUGGGUGACCACGACCACGGGCAGGCAACGGGGUGGAUGGCAGUGCCCCGACAAGUGCUACAACCACGGCAACUAGAUGUUCGAACCAGCGCCUAAUUGUGCUACUACAGGCAUUUUGAUUUGAUGGAACCAUCAUCGUCCAAUUUGCAGCUUUUUGCUACCACCGUAAUAUGUAUUUGCUGGAACCAUCAACAUUUUUUUUGCUACCAUCUUUUUUUGAUUUUGUUGGAAUCAUGCCCAAUUUACUCUUUUUGCUACCACCAUAAUACUUUUUUGCUGGAAGUUUUGUUGGUACACCGCCAAAAUUUUGCAUUUUUGCUAUCACAUGCCUUUUGAAUUGCUGGAACGAGCUUCAUUUUUUGCUACAACCGGCAUCUUUGAUUUUUUUUUCUUCAACAAAGUCCAUUUUUCCAAUUUUUGAUACCAGCGUUUUCAAGUUUGCUGGAAGCAGCACAUUUUUUUGCUACAACCGUUGUUUUGGAUGCGAACCACGACGUCCUCCCCAUUGUCGACGGCGGACGCUGGGGGGAAGGAGCGAAGGCGUCCCAUUGGAGCUGGGCGAUGACCGGCGGCGAGGGGAAGGCGCCUAACUGCGCUGCAGGGGGAGGGGUCGCGCGAGGCGCGACCUGCUUCGAGGUCUGCAGCCAGCGGGGCGGUCGGCGGGGUGGAAACUACUUGCAGAGAGGGAUCGCGGUGGUGAAAGACGAAGUCAACGAAGGGCGUGGGCUGGCAAAACAGACGGUCGAUGACGCGCUAAUCGUGCGGCUGCCGUGCGACCGGCCCAAAUUUGGGCCGGCGCACCGGCGCCUAUCAGUGCCCUUAAAAGAAUUGAUCAACCAACCAUUGUAAGUGCUUACCGAACAAGAACGACUAGUUCACAAUCACUAGGAAGCCGAGCAUGCAGCUAUAUUGGCCGACCCCCUUGCAUUUCCUUCGAUUCAAUCAUUCGUGUGCACGAGUAACC
rnacentral:rRNA from 1 species